rnacentral:rRNA from 1 species
GAUGAACGCUGGCGGCGUGCCUAAUACAUGCAAGUCGAGCGAACAGACGAGGAGCUUGCUCCUUUGACGUUAGCGGCGGACGGGUGAGUAACACGUAGGUAACCUACCUAUAAGACUGGGAUAACUUCGGGAAACCGGAGCUACUACCGGCUAAUAUUUCGAACCGCAUGGUUCGAUAGUGAAAGAUGGCUUUGCUAUCACUUAUAGAUGGACCUGCGCCGUAUUAGCUAGUUGGUAAGGUAACGGCUUACCAAGGCAACGAUACGUAGCCGACCUGAGAGGAUGAUCGGCCACACUGGAACUGAGACACGGUCCAGACUCCUACGGGAGGCAGCAGUAGGGAAUCUUCCGCAAUGGGCGAAAGCCUGACGGAGCAACGCCGCGUGAGUGAUGAAGGUCUUCGGAUCGUAAAACUCUGUUAUUAGGGAAGAACAAACGUGUAAGUAACUGUGCACGUCUUGACGGUACCUAAUCAGAAAGCCACGGCUAACUACGUG